rnacentral:rRNA from 1 species
GAUGAACGCUGGCGGCGUGCCUAAUACAUGCAAGUCGAGCGAACAGAUGAGGAGCUUGCUCCUCUGACGUUAGCGGCGGACGGGUGAGUAACACGUGGAUAACCUACCUAUAAGACUGGGAUAACUUCGGGAAACCGGAGCUAAUACCGGAUAAUAUAUUGAACCGCAUGGUUCAAUAGUGAAAGACGGUUUUGCUGUCACUUAUAGAUGGAUCCGCGCCGCAUUAGCUAGUUGGUAAGGUAACGGCUUACCAAGGCAACGAUGCGUAGCCGACCUGAGAGGGUGAUAGGCCAAACUGGAACUGAGACACGGUCCAGACUCCUACGGGAGGCAGCAGUAGGGAAUCUUCCGCAAUGGGCGAAAGCCUGACGGAGCAACGCCGCGUGAGUGAUGAAGGUCUUCGGAUCGUAAAACUCUGUUAUUAGGGAAGAACAAAUGUGUAAGUAACUAUGCACGUCUUGACGGUACCUAAUCAGAAAGCCACGGCUAACUACGUG